AGAGUGUGAUCCUGGCUCAGAAUCAACGCUGGCGGCGUGCCUAACACAUGCAAGUCGAACGAGAAAGUGGAGCAAUCCAUGAGUAAAGUGGCGACCGGGUGAGUAACACGUGACUAACCUACCUUCGAGUGGGGGAUAACCUCGGGAAACCGAGGCUAAUACCGCAUAACAUCGCAAGAUCAAAGCAGCAAUGCGCUGGAAGAGGGGGUCGCGGCUGAUUAGCUAGUUGGCGGGGUAACGGCCCACCAAGGCGAAGAUCGGUAUCCGGCCUGAGAGGGCGCACGGACACACUGGAACUGAAACACGGUCCAGACUCCUACGGGAGGCAGCAGUGGGGAAUUUUGCGCAAUGGGGGAAACCCUGACGCAGCAACGCCGCGUGGAGGAUGAAGCCCCUUGGGGCGUAAACUCC
rnacentral:rRNA from 1 species